GGGAGGCAGCAGUGGGGAAUAUUGCACAAUGGGGGAAACCCUGAUGCAGCGACGCCGCGUGGAGGAUGAAGGCCUUCGGGUUGUAAACUCCUUUUCUUGGGAAAGAUGAUGACGGUACCCAAGGAAUAAGCCACGGCUAACUCUGUGCCAGCAGCCGCGGUAAGACAGAGGUGGCAAGCGUUGUUCGGAAUUACUGGGCUUAAAGGGCGAGUAGGCGGUGGGACAAGUCUGAUGUGGAAUGUUAGGGCUUAACCCUAAAACUGCAUUAGAAACUGUUUUACUUGAGUCAGUGAGGGGAGGGCGGAAUUCCCGGUGUAGCGGUGAAAUGCGUAGAUAUCGGGAGGAAGGCCGGUGGCGAAGGCGGCCCUCUGGCACUGUACUGACGCUGAGGCGCGAAAGCGUGGGGAGCAAACAGGAUUAGAUACCCCGGUAGC
rnacentral:rRNA from 1 species